ensembl:lncRNA
AUCACUGAAGAGUCUGCUUCAUUUAGAUGAAAGAUUCAAAUAUUUGAUUCUUUAUAAAGAUAGUUUCAUAAAUCAUUUACUGUAAUACGUAAAAAAAAAAAAAAAAAAAUUGAUUUAUGAUUUUGUGACUUUAAGGCAUGUUUUAGAGUAAUUCUACAAAGAAAAUAUGCUAAAGCUACAAGGUCUUUUUGUAUAAAGAGAGCUGAGCCAGAACUCUGUCCAUCCGAUUCCUCAGGCAGUACAACAAACCAUCUCAGCCAAAUGACACUGAGAAGCUCAGUUAAUUGCCCGUAACUGAUUGCCCUGCACCUUUUUUUAAUAAAAAUGAAAUCACUUUUAAUACUUGCAACAUGUGCUGUGUUUUCUCCAGUGACUGUCCAUACGGAGUGUCCAUAUUGGAUUUGAGAGCUAUAAAUGGAUAGAUACAACUAUGUUUCUGUAUUUUGGUAACAGUGACUUCAGAAGACACGGAAAGUAGUCAUAUGAGUGGUUUGGAUUACUUCAAGGUUUUUUUUUUUUUUUGUCAAUUUAGAGCUUACAGCCUCAGUUCACAUUCAAGAAUAGUGAGGAUGUUCUUUGGAAAUUUUCCUUUUGUGUUUCACAGAAGAAACAAAGUCGAGUGUGGAAUGAAAUGAGACCGAAUAUUCAUUUUUGGGUGACAAACCUAUUCGUGAACCUAAACUUAAUCUGGACCGGUUCAAACAAGUAAAAUCAGGUCUGCAAAUCUGAAAUGAACUUGUAAUGGAGGCCAAAUCCAACAUUUCCUCAGAGGCUGGAGUGUGUGACAGCAGCUGCGAUGACACACACACAGAUCACCUCUAAAAAUACCCUUCACUUAGGAAACGACACAUCGUAAAUGCAUACGCCAUCAGGGAACAUUCGUGGCCCGAUUCGUUCACCGCCACAUCCUGCGGUCCUGGAAAAUGCGAAAUGUUUGUGACACUUGGACGUGCGGGACGGUGCCAGUUUGCCAGAGGCGUAUUCUGAGUGUGUCAGCUAUCAGAAACGCUCCUGUGUUUCAAGGAUGGCAUCAGCUCAGGGUGUGUUUCUUGUCUGUGAGGAUCUCUGGACGGAUGGACCUGCGGGUUUGAUCUGCCUGGAUCAGCCACAUACUGUUUGACAGCGCAGUUUUUCUUGACGUUAGCUGUUGGGGCGGCUUUGAUGCAGGAAGGGUGGACUGUCGCUGGGAGUUUGGAGUGUGUUCAGUGAGUUAUUUCUAUAGACAGGACAGUGAGGAGAGCGCCUGAGGAGCAUGCACACACACACAAGUAGAGUGCUGCUGGGACCGACGCUUUUCCCCAGACGCUCCACAUGGACACAGUAAAGAAGAGGUCGUGGCUAUAUUCGGCAAGGUCAUCGAGGAGCCUGGAGGUAAAUCCAGUGAUGUUUCAUACUUGUGUGAUUUUCCAAACAAACCCUCUUUGGAGUCAUAUGGAGAAAUAAUGGCAUGAGCCGAUGUCAGGAGAAGAUGAGGAAGUGUUGAUGAGGAAGGUGUUGUGACAUCUUUUGGGGUUUAAGGACAUCUUCCAUAUAGUUUCACUCGUUCAACUCUGAUAGCUUCAGUGUUGGGGAAGAACUAAGCAAAAGAUAUUUGUAACAACAACAACAACAACAACUCAAAAACACUAGAAAAAUCAGAUUAUGAUUAUAAAAUUGAUAAAAGUGGCUCAACCAAUCAGAAUCAAGGACUGGAGCUAUAUGUUUUUAUAAUAAUCUUUUUUAUUUAUAUUUCUAUGUUGCUUAAUGUGUUUAUAUUGUUAGUACGAAGCAGUUGCUACAUUAAAUACAUUUCUCAUCAAAACAAUAUUUUGUCCUGAAAAUCCAUAAUCGGUUGUGCCAUUUGUUUUUAUAUACAUUGUACCAAACUUUGUAUGUACAUCUCCAAGGCUGCAUUUAUUUGAUUAAAAAUACAGGUACUGUAAAACUAAUAUUAAGAUAUUAUGACUAAUAUUAAAUUGAAUUAUUUAUUAAAAUAUGUAUUAUUUAAAAUAACUGUUUUCUAUUCGAAUAUAUUUUAAAAUGUCAUUUAUUCCUGUG